CUACUGAGUAAUAUGCUUGA
rnacentral:snRNA from 1 species